UUAUUCGUGCACCUUCUAGAGUGACGCAUGGGAAAAUCUCUCCAGUUCAUUACGAUGAGGAAUUGGGAAAUUCCUUAUUCAAUUGCUUGCCAAAAUGUCGUGCGGUACUACAAGCAGAACGCCGAUGAAACAUGGGUCGACGUCUCGCUGAAUAGCCUGCUUCCAGGCUCAGUCCUCAAUUGCCAGCGCCAGCUGUCAGGAUGUCUCAUCUAGGAAAAGCCUAAUGGCUACUCAAAGGUGGAACACGUUGAGGUGGACGAUAGGUCAGAGCACAACAUCUACAAGCUGUUGGGGGCAAGCAACAGUUCUGCAGUUGUACAGAAGCACUGACCAUAGACAGUGAAUUUGUUAAUGCACUUACAGAGAGGUCAGGCUAAACUUCUCUCAGAAGGUUGGGAAGGAGGAUCUAAAAGAGGCUGCUUAGAAAUCUCCACAGGGGCAGGGGGUAGGAUCCUAGCUGUAACUGUUCCAUAGGGAGGCUAGCUGCAUACAUUGGUUUCAGAUGAAUUUUGGAGCAUGUUUCCUCCUCAAAUAUCACUUCUUCUUUAGGAAGCCCAAUUGAAAAAGCUGUAGAUCUAAUUUGAUUCUUCCUUUCCUCCCGUGGUGGGAUCAAUCAAAUACGAAAUGGCCAAGAACUGCUGACGAUGAUGACAACGUGGCCACCAUCGCCGCCCUCAGACAAAGAAGCUAGAGAUAAUAAAGGGGUCUCUAAGAAAGAAUUUCUAUCUGAAAAUCUUUUCACCAAAUGUCCUAGACAUCACCAUGGUUGACCUCCCUGGAAUAACAUGUACCUGUGCCACUUGGAGAUCAGCCCAGUGAUAUUGAGUCAAGAAUAAGAGCAAUGACCAUACAAUACAUUAGGCAUCUAAGUUGUAUUAUCUUCGUUGUUUCUCCUGCAAAUGCUGACUUAGCUCAUUCUGAUGCUCUCCAACUAGCAAGGCUUGCUGAUCCUAAUGGGUCUCGUACAAUCCUUCCUAUCACUAAGGGGCACUCAUGCUCGUAACUUGUUCCUAGGAAAUGUGAUUCCAGUCAAGUUUGGUUAUGUAAGUGUUGUAAAUCGCAAUCAAGAGAUUGAUGUCUACAUUCACAAGGAACAAACAAUGGAAGCAAGCAUCAAGGGUGUGUGAGGAAGUUCUGUCAUGCCUACCAAAUUUCACCACCCUCUGUCAACCAACUAAUUCAUGGUGGGAUGACGAUGGUGUGAACUGUAAAGAGGCAGGUGGCUCAACUUCUCGAUCCAGUGGUGCGAAGCCUCAAUCAACAUUGUUCAGGGUGUUGUCAGCCAGAUUCGGCAUUAGCAGUAGCCCACGACUGUUCUAGCUGCCCCAAAAAUAUCAGUUGGCAUGAGGGAAGAUACAAACAACAUCUCUGGCCUGGUUAGCUAUGAGUGUCCCAAAGUCAUCAUGUAGGAGAGACACCAUGGAUUGGAUUUGCAAGGUGGAAAAAAAGAAAUACUUUAGAAUUUGUUGGUUCUUGCAUCUCAAUCCUUCUAUCUAAUGGAAAAAUUGAUUUGUUUUA